rnacentral:rRNA from 1 species
GGAAUCUUAGACAAUGGGCGCAAGCCUGAUCUAGCCAUGCCGCGUGAGUGAUGAAGGUCUUAGGAUCGUAAAGCUCUUUCGCCAGGGAUGAUAAUGACAGUACCUGGUAAAGAAACCCCGGCUAACUCCGUGCCAGCCGCCGCGGUAAUACGGAGGGGGUUAGCGUUGUUCGGAAUUACUGGGCGUAAAGCGCGCGUAGGCGGAUCAGAAAGUUGGGGGUGAAAUCCCGGGGCUCAACCCCGGAACUGCCUCCAAAACUCCUGGUCGGGAGUUCGAGAGAGGUGAGUGGAAUUCCGAGUGUAGAGGUGAAAUUCGUAGAUAUUCGGAGGAACACCAGUGGCGAAGGCGGCUCACUGGCUCGAUACUGACGCUGAGGUGCGAAAGUGUGGGGAGCA